AUGUUUCGUUGAAAAAAUUAUGUUUUUUGAAUCGUUCCAGUUUAUUUAUCUUAUGAAUUUCCCUUUAUGUAAACUGCCUGUCCUUUUUAUGUUUCUGGCUUUUGAAUGAAUUACCACUUUAAGUAUUACUAGAUGUCUUCGUGUACGUACACUAUAUAGUACAUUAAACUUGGUUUAUCGUACAUUGGGAAAUUGCGUACACAACAUAAGUAUAAAUCUAAUAGUUUUUGAUGUUGAAGGCACCAAAACUAAUAUACGUACACGAUAGCGUACACCAGAAACUAUACGUACACUGCGAGAGGAUUUGAACAAUAAAACAAGGCACGUACAUAAAACAAAA
rnacentral:sRNA from 1 species